AGAUUUAAGAAGGCUAAGAAUAUCAUGAAGGUGGUUUUCCCAGCAUGAGGCUCAUCCAUUGCACUCCAGAUGUGCUGACCCCUGCAAUUUCCCCAAAUGUGGGAAAUUCAACUGCAUAAUUUGUGGUAGUGGGGGACUGUGUUUGCGCUUUCCCCUG
ensembl:snRNA U1 U1 spliceosomal RNA